AGAAACUUGAUUAUACUAUAAUAUAGUAAGUGUCUAGCAUUUUAAGAACAUUUAUUUGUUGUCUCCAAACAGUUAUUAAGAAUUCAUGUAUAUUCCACUUUAUUCAUGUUUCUUAUUCAUGAAUAAUUUUGACACUGGAAUAGUAACCAUGAAUGAAAGUGGAAUAUUCAUGAAUAUUCAUGAAUAUUCUACCUUAUUCAUGAAUAUAUGAAUAUCAUGAAAGCAGGG
rnacentral:lncRNA from 1 species